rfam:Pan troglodytes isolate Yerkes chimp pedigree #C0471 (Clint) chromosome 8, whole genome shotgun sequence.
UAGUACAUAGUGUAAUAGGUAGCACAGAUAAUUUUGGAUUCUCAGGGGUAGGUUCAAUUCUUAUAGUUCUAG